rnacentral:rRNA from 1 species
GACGAACGCUGGCGGCGCGCCUAACACAUGCAAGUCGAACGGAGCUGAGAGAAGCUUGCUUUUCUUAGCUUAGAGGCGAACGGGUGAGUAACGCGUGAGUAACCUGCCCUGGAGUGGGGGACAACAGUUGGAAACGACUGCUAAUACCGCAUAAGCCCACGAUCCGGCAUCGGAUUGAGGGAAAAGGAUUUAUUCGCUUCAGGAUGGACUCGCGUCCAAUUAGCUAGUUGGUGAGGUAACGGCCCACCAAGGCGACGAUUGGUAGCCGGACUGAGAGGUUGAACGGCCACAUUGGGACUGAGACACGGCCCAGACUCCUACGGGAGGCAGCAGUGGGGGAUAUUGCACAAUGGGGGAAACCCUGAUGCAGCGACGCCGCGUGGAGGAAGAAGGUUUUCGGAUUGUAAACUCCUGUCGUUAGGGACGAUAAUGACGGUACCUAACAAGAAAGCACCGGCUAACUACGUG